AGGCCUGGUCGUCUGCCAUGUUUGGCAACGCGAAUAUUGCACUCGCCCCGGCCUGA
rnacentral:pre_miRNA from 1 species